rnacentral:lncRNA from 1 species
AUCGGCCCCUCUUCUUGAAUUUCCAUCUAUGAUUGACGGGUUUUUUACCCUAGUUUCACAAGAACACCCAUGUCGGCUCCGAGGAGUGCAUAGCAGUGAAUCCACCAUUCCUGCAAUGAUUUCUUUCAAUUGUCACCACUAAUAGCCCUCCCUUGAGCUCAAGAACAAUGCCCAAUCAUUGGUUGGAGCGUCGGAGUUUAUUUGAGGACAAAUCAAAAACACCCAAAUUCUAGGGUUCCGAUG